UUGUGAGCAGCCCCUUGCAUAAGUUGUUCGACUGGUGUAAAAGAAGCUGUCGUGGACGUAAGAAGUUUUUGAGCUUGGGAGAACAAGAAAGCCGGCGUUUUGCGGAUGAAUUGGUUCCACGGAGUGCUCUCCUGCUCGGCGGUGGGUGUUCUCGCACGGCGCGUUGCGUGCCGUCUCACCGAGCGGGCCGAUGGUACGAGAGAUCUUCCUCCUGAAGGAAAGGUCACCGGCGUGGGGAAGUCCCUCCUGCAGGCACCUUACAAACAGGCUGUGCUGCUCCCAGGGGUGGCAGGCAAUAGCGUUGAAGGCGCUGGCCCACGUCAUCCUAAGCUCGCCUGAAUUUCCUACGAAAGGGAAGAUGAUGGAUGCGGUCGGGUUUAUUUUCUUGUUAGUUUGCUGAGAAAGACGAAGCUCAGCGAAUGCAAGGUGCUUCUGGGGAGUUUAUUUACGCUGCGUCUUUUCUGCGCAGAUUAGCAUUUCAUCAGCA